rnacentral:rRNA from 1 species
CCUACGGGGGGCAGCAGUGAGGAAUCUUGGUCAAUGGACGAGAGUCUGAACCAGCCAAGUAGCGUGAAGGAUGACUGCCCUAUGGGUUGUAAACUUCUUUUAUAUGGGAAUAAAAUGUUCCACGUGUGGGAUUUUGUAUGUACCAUAUGAAUAAGGAUAGGCUAACUCCGUGCCAGCAGCCGCGGUAAUACGGAGGAUCCGAGCGUUAUCCGGAUUUAUUGGGUUUAAAGGGAGCGUAGGUGGAUUGUUAAGUCAGUUGUGAAAGUUUGCGGCUCAACCGUAAAAUUGCAGUUGAAACUGGCAGUCUUGAGUACAGUAGAGGUGGGCGGAAUUCGUGGUGUAGCGGUGAAAUGCUUAGAUAUCACGAAGAACUCCGAUUGCGAAGGCAGUUCACUGGACUGCAACUGACACUGAGGCUCGAAAGUGUGGGUAUCAAACAGGAUUAGAUACCCGGGUAGUC